rnacentral:tRNA from 3 species
CCUGAGAUGGCAGAGCGGCUCAUGCAACGGUCUGUAAAACCGUAUAAGGUAGGUUCAACUCCUACUCUCAGGACCA